rfam:Candidatus Amesbacteria bacterium RIFOXYB1_FTLL_44_23 rifoxyb1_full_scaffold_8205, whole genome shotgun sequence.
GGGCCGCUAGCUCAUUUGGUAGAGCGCAUCGUUUGCAUCGAUGAGGCGAGGAGUUCGAAUCUCCUGCGGUCCA